UCCGUAGGUGAACCUGCGGAGGGAUCAUUGCUGGAACGCGCCCUAGGCGCACCCAGAAACCCUUUGUGAACUUAUACCUUACUGUUGCCUCGGCGCAUGCUGGCCCCCUCGGGGUCCCCUGGAGACAGGGAGCAGGCACGCCGGCGGCCAAGUUAACUCUUGUUUUUACACUGAAACUCUGAGAAAAAAACACAAAUGAAUCAAAACUUUCAACAACGGAUCUCUUGGUUCUGGCAUCGAUGAAGAACGCAGCGAAAUGCGAUAAGUAAUGUGAAUUGCAGAAUUCAGUGAAUCAUCGAAUCUUUGAACGCACAUUGCGCCCUCUGGUAUUCCGGAGGGCAUGCCUGUUCGAGCGUCAUUUCAACCCUCAAGCAUUGCUUGGUGUUGGGGCACUGCCUGUAAAAGGGCAGGCCCUGAAAUCUAGUGGCGAGCUCGCUAGGACCCCGAGCGUAGUAGUUAAACCCUCGCUUUGGAAGGCCCUGGCGGUGCCCUGCCGUUAAACCCCCAACUUUUGAAAAUUUGACCUCGGAUCAGGUAGGAAUACCCGCUGAACUUAAGCAUAUCAAUAAGCGGAGGA
rnacentral:sRNA from 2 species